CACUAGUGUGCCGUGAGAGAUCGUCAGGUGUGCCGUGGGAAAUUAUUAGGAGGCAGCAGAGGGCGAUAUACCUGUAAAGACAAGCGAGGUAGGCUGCGUGACACGUGACACUGACAGUGUGGGAUCGCAGCAGGAGGAGGCGAGCAAGUGACAGUGAUGGAGAAGUUUUUGAGAAGGGAAAAUGUAAAUGCCGGACAGGGUCCUGGACAAAAUUCUGACCCAAAUGAAGGCCCCAGUAUGAGUGGUCGACAAAAUAAAAAAGACAAGACGGUGAGCUCGAGGCAAUACAGCGAAAGCUAUCUUUCAUUUGGAUUUACUUUCACCGGGGAUGCGACAGCACCGACUCCGCAGUGCUUGGUGUGUGGUGAGAAGCUAUCCAAUAGCGCCAUGGUGCCAAGCAAGCUUAAACGCCAUCUCCAAACGAAACACCCUUCCGUUCAAAACAAGCCGAUGGACUAUUUUGUACGCUUACGUACAAACAAUGAGAAACAGGCAACUUUUCUGAGAAAAACCACAAAGGUAAACGAGAGAGCCCUCAAAGCUAGCUACCUUGUUGCUGAACUCGUAGCUAAAUCAAAAAAGUCCCACACUGUGGCAGAAACAUUAAUACUGCCAGCUUGUAAAGCCAUCGUAAAUGAGAUGCUCGGCCCUGACGCGGCCAAAGAGAUCGCUAAAGUGCCUCUCUCAGAUAACACAAUUGCCAGACGUAUUGAUGAUAUGUCUGCGGACAUCGAAACUAUUGUUUUGGAAAAGAUGCGCAUCUGUAAGAAAUUUGCCUUGCAAAUUGAUGAGUCGACGGAUAUUAGUGGACAUUGUCAGCUCUUGGCCAACGUGCGUUUUGUGGAUGGAGAAGCCAUUAAAGAAAACUUCCUAUUUUGCAAGACACUGCCAGAAAAAUCAACAGGAGAGGAAAUAUUUCGGGUCACGUCGGAAUAUUUUGACAAAAGCGGGCUUUCGUGGGAAAACUGCACAGGUGUCUGCACUGAUGGAGCCGCAGCCAUGGUCGGGCGCGUCAAAGGCUUCGUAAGUAGGGUCAAAGAAAAAAACCCGGAUGUUAUUGUUACGCACUGUUUUUUGCACCGUGAGGCACUCGUUGCAAAGACCUUACCAGCAGAUCUAGCUCCUGUUUUGGAUGAUGUUGUGCGCAUAGUGAACUUUGUGAAGACGCGACCUUUGAAAUGUCGCUUAUUUGCGUCUUUGUGUGAGGAAAUGGGAGCGGAACAUAAAGUGUUAUUGCUCCACACGGAGGUCCGGUGGCUGUCGCGCGGCAAAGUGCUUGCCCGUGUGUAUGAGCUGCGAGAGGAACUUAAAGUAUUUCUGACAAACGAGAGGUCCGAUUACUCAAAGCUGCUUGCAAGUAAUGAGUGGUGUGCAAAGCUGGCAUACCUGGCUGAUAUAUUUCAUCAUCUGAAUGAACUGAACACACGGAUGCAAGGCCGAAAUGAAAAUCUGCUUACAAGCACUGAUAAAAUGAAUGGAUUCCGUUUGAAGUUGCAGCUCUGGCAACAACAUGUGCAGCGUGGCAACCUUGAAAUGUUCCCAUUCACCGAGAAACUGCAUGAUGGCAACACUGCUGCAAUGUGCGAAGUGAUUGGCACACAUUUGAAAACUCUUGAGAAAAAGUUGUUAUUUUAUUUCUCUUCAGCCUUCACAGAAUGCCUUGACUGGGUCAGGGACCCAUACAGCUCAGCAUCCAUUGCUGGUAAGGACAUGACUUUAAAGGAGCAAGAGGAACUCAUUGAACUGAAACAAGAUCGGGGUUUAAAGCUAAACUUUGCUGAUCUUCCUUUGGACAGUUUUUGGUUAUCUGUUGCCAAGGAGUUCCCCAUUCUGGCCAACAAAGCCAUUUUGACAUUGCUCCCGUUUUCAACCACAUAUCUAUGUGAGCUGAGCUUCUCAAGCUUGACUGCGAUAAAAACUAAAAACAGAGAGAGACUGAGAGCUGUUGAGGAAGAGCUUCGUGUGUGUCUUUCUACCAUUUCUGCCAGGAUAUCCAUUUUGUGUUCAUCGAAACAGGCCCAGGUUUCACACUAGAUGAUGUUUUACAGAUCAUCUUCAAGCCGCUUCAGGAUGUGCUGUUCCCGACCGGAACUCUCUAAUAACUAAAGUUCCUUGGGUGAAUAACGUAGACUCACUACACCGAAAUGGCAACAGCGGAGGAUGAAUGUCCCAC